CGUCGUAGCUCAGUUGGUAGAGCAGAGGACUGAAAAUCCUUGUGUCACUGGUUCAAUUCCAGUCGAUGC
rnacentral:tRNA from 1 species